AUGAAACUUCAAAGUCGGCCGACAGUUGUUGCUGGUGAUUUACUUCACAUGUGCACGCUGAUGGUCGCAAUCCACACACACCUGUGCAUCUAUGACUUGAGGUUGUAACGACCGAGAGUAACUUUUACACACUCUUGUAUGUAAUGGAAUGUCUUUUGUGCAUAAUGUACAAUAUAAA
rnacentral:misc_RNA from 1 species